AUUUUCAAGCUCCCAAGACAGGAGACAUGGGGGUGCCAGUCAAUCAGGUGCACGUCUCUCCAGGCGUCCCUGUGUUCAGUGUCACAUACACCGUGCACUACAACCCCAGCAUGGCCUGGGACACCCAGUCACUCUUCUGGACUCACAAUUCAACCUCAAGCCAAUUACCUAGCUGGUCUCUUUGGGCCCCGGUUUCCCCAGCUGAAGGCAGAUGUGUGUGCACAUGUGCGGCAGGGGGAGGCUAGGAGAGGACACUACAGCUGUAGGAUUCUUAACUACCACCUUUGCAUAUUUGCUUUUUAGAGAAACUCACUGGUAAUCUGGAAAGUAGCAAACACUCUGAAGCCGAUCUUAUGUUAUCUGUCAAGGAGCUCAGCAAACGCACAGGAAAUGUUACCUUCCACAGAAAGAGGGAGGAGGGUUGCGGUUACUUACCAUCCUCAUAAGCUGCUACCGCCAGCGAGCUGUUUAUCCUCACAAAGGAGACAUAUGGCUGCAUUCCAGGCUCAUCCUCCUCAUACUCUGAUUCCAGGAAAGGGGCUGUGUAGUCCCAGGUGCGGGUGUCCCACACCCUCACGUCCCCUGAUGUAUAUCUGGAAAAGAAGGGCACACUUGGUUCCAAAUGGGGCCUGGAAAGCAGGGCCAUGGUGGAGAAAAUGGGGAGAGUCUCAAAACAACAGAGGAAUAAGAUCUAGUUGGUGUGGAACCACUCCUGCAAUACUGUUUAGGAAAGAAUGGUGUGUGCUGCAAAAGAAAACCCAAAAUGAAGCUGUCAUAGCUGCGCCAUCAGAAUAGCAAAUGAGGGCUCAUGAAGUAGCCCUAACACCCGGCUCUCCGUGUGGACACCGCAGAACAGCAGAGAGGUGCAGUGCAUGUGUGCCACUCUCUGCUCGCCAGGCCUCUGAGCCUUAGCCAGCCACAUAAAAGGAGUGUUUUGGAAGAGUUAAUCUCUACAGCUCCUUCCAGAUUUAAAAUUACAUGGUUCGAAGUUGAAAAGACUAAGAAAUCAAGGGCCAGACAAAUUAGGGAUUUCUCCAGUCUUCCAUGUAACACGCGAUACCUAGGUGGGAGAGGGUAUGUUAAACUGUAAUGCUUCCUUCAGACAAAAUAAGGAAUAAGCACUGUGGGGCAGUUUACAUCACAUACCACCUCUAGUUUUUUUAAAAAAGAUGCUUAUAAAUUAACUGCACAGAAAAUACAUGGCUGUGAAGUUAAUUAUUUCCAA